rnacentral:sRNA from 1 species
AUGAAUAUAAAUAUCAAUUUAAGAGAAUAACUUACUCAAAUCAUUAAGUAAUCCACGACUAUUAUAUAUUCAUAGUUACUUUGAGUUUGGAUUACAAAAUAAAAUUUUCGAGUAUGAGAAAACUAUUAAAAUAGUUUUAUUGAAAAAUCAUAUAAUAUUAAAAUAAAUUUAGUAAUACUAUAAUUAAAUAUAUAAAAUUAAAUAAU